AAACGACUCUCGGCAACGGAUAUCUCGGCUCACGCAUCGAUGAAGAACGUAGCAAAAUGCGAUACUUGGUGUGAAUUGCAGAAUCCCGUGAACCAUCGAGUUUUUGAACGCAAGUUGCGCCCGAAGCCUUUCGGCCGAGGGCACGUCUGCCUGGGCGUCACAC
rnacentral:rRNA from 1 species